rnacentral:rRNA from 1 species
UACGAAGGGGGCUAGCGUUGCUCGGAAUGACUGGGCGUAAAGGGCGCGUAGGCGGUUCGUACAGUCAGACGUGAAAUUCCCGGGCUCAACCUGGGGGCUGCGUUUGAUACGUACGGGCUUGAGUUCGGAAGAGGGUCGUGGAAUUCCCAGUGUAGAGGUGAAAUUCGUAGAUAUUGGGAAGAACACCGGUGGCGAAGGCGGCGACCCUGGUCCGAUACUGACGCUGAGGCGCGAAAGCGUGGGGAGCAAACAGG